rnacentral:rRNA from 1 species
ACUCCUACGGGAGGCAGCAGCAGGGAAUNUUGGGCAAUGGGCGAAAGCCUGACCCAGCGACGUCGCGUGGAGGAAGAAGGCCUUAGGGCUGUAAACUCCUUUUCUGAGGGAAGAGUAAGGACGGUACCUUGGGAAUAAGUCCGGCUAACUCC